UUUCGACUCUCUCUAAGCCCACUUCUCCCUCCCUCCCAAUUACUUCCCUCAAUUAGACUCUCUCAAUAGAACCCUCACUCACACCGUUCCUCCUUCCGCCGAUCCUUCACACCCUCGUCCUUCGCUUCUAUCGUCCCUCCCUCCGUCGUCCCUCGCUCUCUCAGUCAUCCUCACUCUGUCAACCUCGCAAUUGGUUCACUCACGCUAUGGAACUCGCUGCGUGAAAGUUACUCCAUCGAUGGCUGUUCAUGAUGCUGUUCUGUCGGUUGGUGGCUGGUGCGGUGCGCGAACAGCGGUGCGGUGGUGCGACGUUUUGCACCCUAAAUCUGAAAUCACCUCUUUCUCUCUCCUGCUAGUCAAGUUCCCCAAUUUCAGUAAUCGCGAAGAUAUACAGAUUCGAAGCUAUCUUGCUCUUACUCAAUGGUCCUUAUCUUGAGAAUGGCUGGCUUGAGGAUGCAGCAUAUUUUUAGUUGCUAAAUCGACAUCUUUCUGCACUGGUGAAAAUACAUCAGAGCGAAAAACACUUUUUGGAGAGAUUGUCCUAGUCAUCGCCCAACAGUUUCUAUUCCAAAGACAAUGGAAGAAAGUUCGUAAUUAUGCACAACUAAAGGGCAUCAAGAUCAUGGGGGAUAUGCCAAUUUAUGUAGGUUAUCACAGUGCUGAUGUUUGGGCUAACAAAAAACAUUUUUCGCUGGUGCGUCCCACUUUUAUAACCUGUGAUGUUGUUUCUGCAGUAUGAUAUGAAAUUUGUGUUUCUGCAUUUGGUGUUGAUGUCUGUUUUUCCAGCAGUAUAGGAAGGGUUAUACUCUGUUAGUCAGUGGUGUUCCGCCUGAUGCAUUCAAUGAAACUGGUCAAUUGUGGGACAGGUUGGUGACUCUGCAGUCUGCACAUGAGCUUCGGCAUCUUAAUUUCCUUAUCAUGUCUUUCUUAUUCAUUUUGAAAUCUUUAUACUUCCUCUUUUUUUUUUCUUACUUGCACAAUUGGAUGUUGGCACGUGAAAUUAGGAGAGGAGAGGAGAGUAGAGGAGAUAAAAACGGGAACCCAUGUACUAGGAGAGAGAAAGAGAGAAUAUAUUGCCGAAAUUGAAUGUUGCAAGUAAUAUGCAAUUUCCCAAAAAUGGAUGGUGCAAAUAAAUACAAGUGGAGGAAGUAUUAGUGGAUUGAUCCCCCCCCACCCCCUCUUCUGAUGCUUGGAAAUUGGAAUGCUGUUGAGGAUGUCUAAUUCAUGGUCUUCUUCUUUUUCUUUGUUUUAUGGGUCAGCUUAAAGUGGUGAUUUAUACAUUAGACAAUGUUUUUUAGGUGAUUUUGCUUCACCUACCGCCCACUUGAGUAAUAAACUCGCCCUAUCUUGGUAAAGCUUAAAGUGGAUGAUCUUCCUAGUUGCCAUCCUUGUUGAUAAAAUUUUGAAGUAUGUCAUUUCUGCAUAAUUACUAGCCUACUUGGUCUCUGGCAAAUAGCAAUGCACCUCUGCUUAGUGUUGUUCUUUUAUAUAAUUAUUUUCUGUUAUAAAUAUAAUAUCUUUUUCCUUAAAACAAGUACUAAUAUCUUUCAUCUUGGGAUGUCUCACAAAGUAGCUAAUAUCCCAUUUAUAGUACUUUUGUCCUUCCUACUUUUUAAUGUAGUUGGAGCCUCACACUGAACCAUGAACCACCCACUUUUGAUCUGUACUUCUUCACUUUCCUUCACCUUCGUACAGAAAGUAGAUGUUAACUUGGUUUACUUUAGGAGAGCAUACGUCAUUUUAAUGGGCUGUAAUAUCUUCUAGUUAUUUCAUGAUAUAUAGUUGUGAACUAGCUAAUGCUUGUCGGUUUGUUUGAAGCCCUCUAUAUGUAUUUGAUGUGAGCUAUUUAAUUGUGACUUGCUUCUUUAUUGGAUUUUACUUUACUAUCUAACAUCUGAUGCUCCUAGUUCCUUUUACAUUUCGUACCUGAUAUGAGCCCCACAUUUGCAUUUUGCACCUGCUUUUCUUAUCUCUUUUGAAGGAUCUGCCUUUUUUUGUCUCAGGUAUAAAUUUUUUGAGGACAGUGUUAGUUUUGGACUCCUUAUAUACAUUCCUGAUUCUUUAUCGAUUUUCCACAAUUCACAUUUACUUGAUGUAUAUUUCUCUUGAUUUAUAUUAUGGAAGCCUCCUUAAUAUUGUAUUAUCCAAUUGUAAAGUAUUUGAGGACAGUGUUAGUUCCUCUCUUUUGCUUUCUUAGUUAAAUAAUUUCUUAUGCUGGCUGACCUGAGUAUCUAGCUUGCUUCCACAUGACGCCUCAUUGAACAGUUUACAGUGAGGGCAGAUCCUUCAGCAGUUUACAGUGGAAAUGGAGUGUAAAUAUUCAGUAUAAAUUUUGUCUCAGGUAAUACAGAUUUACUUUUCGUUGAGGUCAAUCCUCUGUUCAUGUGCCAGUUGCUUUUCAGAACCAUUAUCAGGAGUUAAAAGUGGAGCUCCUCACCCUUUUGGCAUUAUUACUCUAAUUUUAGGACUUUGGGAAAAUAUGGUUGAGUAAAGCCAGUCUUGAGAAAUGAUAAUCUCACUUGCUUUUCAACUGAAGUACGGUUUAGUCCUCUUUAAUACUUUAUGUUCUUGAGCAACUUAAGGAUGAAGUCAAUGAUGUACUUUCUGAUUUUAUAUUGUGUGGCCUUCACUUUGCAUUGAUACUUAAGGAUGAAGUCAAUGAAAUAAUUUCGUAAUACAAAAGUUCACGCCUAAAACUCAACAUGAUUUAUUUAUAUCUACAGCAAGUUCAUUAGUAAUCUCCUUGCUGCUGCUCCUUUAAAAAUUAUGUGCUUAUGUUGGCAUACCUGGAUAAGUAGAAACCUUGGGCUUUGAUGUAAUGACAAUGCUGACUGUCAGCUCAUGAGCUUUCUGCUUCCUGACAACAAAGAAAUGAUACAAUGGUUAGAUUCUUUUUCAUUUUCGUUUUCUUUGGAUAGAUAAUAUAAAGGAUUAUCUAAGAAGAUCUUUGCAUUUAUGUUCUCAUUUUCAACCUUGCACAUAAAGGAAAAUCGUAAAGGCAAGAUAGAGCAGAGCUUACUCGAGUAUAACGAGCAUCAGCUUUUGAUACUUGGAUGAGUGCACUUUGGACAUUCUUUGUACUGAUGCCAUUAUUUUUCUGCUAUGACAGAGAUCUCCCUGGAAUUGUCGUGCCUUCGAACAUUCAGAGAUAGAGGAAUGGUUGCCAACAUCCAUAACUUGGGGUCAAAGAUGAAAGGUGUUGUUCCAUUUUCCCGCUUGGUGUGCAUGGCGUGAUUACUUUAAUUGAGCUUGGUGCACACUUUUUCUGUCUACUAGUUAGAUAUAGGAUUCUUGCUCCUGUAUCUAUAUUGUUGUAACUUUCUUGAUGCAAAUAAAGGAUCUUUAUUUAUGAAAAAUAAUGUAAUGUUUGUCCUUUUCUCUUUGUUUGAAAAGGAGAGGGAAAUGUUUGGUAUAGAUAUUAUGCAAGGAGUUCGAGAAACAAUGCCCUGGGCA